CAAAGAUUUCAGAGCCAGGUGGGAGGGUGCGAUGCAAGAGGCUUAUCUCGGGCCUGCAAAGUGAAUAAUUAGUGGCAAGGGCUCCUAAAGAGGCCACGCCCUCAGAGGAAAGGUGGGCUGAGGACAACCUCCUGCUAUCAAAAGCAGAUAGUGAGGGUGCUGGCUUCGGCAGCACAUAUACUAAAAGCAGAUAGUGAGGAAAGAUGUUUUCUUGAGUCUGUGGAGGGCGAUAAAACAUCUCCCCCAGGAGUGGUAGCGUCAGGCUCACCCUCACAGAGGCUUUCGGCCCACAUGUGCAUUCAUUUUGUAGCCCAGAAAAGCUGUUAGUUAGAAAGUCAGUGGUGCCCAGAGCAGCCUAGCAAGAACAAGGGAAAAAUGGAAACAUAGGGACCCAGCAAAUGUGAGCUCACACAGAAAGCAAAAACCUACAAGAAAAGAAACAACCAUGAUUGAGAGGCAGCAGGCACAAUCUGCGACUACAGAGGCCGAAGACCUGACAACUGAUCUCACAGGAUACAGGGUCCCCACUGCCUGGGGACCACAGCACCUAUCAUCAGAGCCCAAGGUCCCUCCAUCCGGGGUUCCAGGUAAACACACAGGGGGAGCAUGACUCGACUGGAGACAAAAACCAAAUGCAUUUCAAGAAGAAAAGGGAGAAAAGGGCAGAGCCUCCUCUGUGAUGAGCAUGGGUACCAUAUUCUCCGCAGAGCAUGGCCCGCCCAGCCCAGCUGCUGUACUAGGCCAGAUACCACAUGUCCCUUCAGGAUGGUGGGAGUACUUAACCCUAGUUCCUGGGAGCCAGACCACUUCCUGCAUUCCUGGUGCUGCUCUGGGAUUUCCAGGGAGCAGAUGCCAAGACAGGACCCAGCGUGGAGGAUUUUUAAUAGGGGAACCACCUGUGUGGGAGAAAGCAGGGAGGUGGCCCUAAGGCUGGGAAAGUGCAACCAGGAGGACCGUCCGAUGUGCCAACAACAAGCCUGCAGAGAUCGCAAUCCUGGGGAGCAGCCCAAAGCUUUGGUGUAAAUGAACCACUGGAUUUCAGCUCUCAUUUGCUGGGCCUUUGGACAAUUCCUCUCCCUACAGCAAGCUCAGUAGGUAUACAAAACACCCUAUGUAACAACUUUUGCCUACAGUCAAAUAAAGAUUGCAGCCCCAACAUUGUAACUGUUUUUUUCAAGGACAUUUGAUAUGUUAACAAAAGAUUAAGUA
ensembl:lncRNA